GAUGAACGCUGGCGGCGUGCCUAAUACAUGCAAGUCGAGCGAACAGACGAGGAGCUUGCUCCUUUGACGUUAGCGGCGGACGGGUGAGUAACACGUGGAUAACCUACCUAUAAGACUGGGAUAACUUCGGGAAACCGGAGCUAAUACCGGAUAACAUGUUGAACCGCAUGGUUCAACAGUGAAAGACGGUCUUGCUGUCACUUAUAGAUGGAUCCGCGCCGCAUUAGCUAGUUGGUAAGGUAACGGCUUACCAAGGCAACGAUGCGUAGCCGACCUGAGAGGGUGAUCGGCCACACUGGAACUGAGCCACGGUCCAGACUCCUACGGGAGGCAGCAGUAGGGAAUCUGCCGCAAUGGGCGAAAGCCUGACGGAGCAACGCCGCGUGAGUGAAGAAGGUCUUCGGAUCGUAAAACUCUGUUAUUAGGGAAGAACAAAUGUGUAAGUAACUAUGCACGUCUUGACGGUACCUAAUCAGAAAGCCACGGCUAACUACGU
rnacentral:rRNA from 1 species